rnacentral:tRNA from 1 species
UGAUAAGAAAGGGACUUAAACCCCCAUUCAUAGGACUACAGCCUACCGCCUAUCCAUUCGGCCAUCUUACC